rnacentral:rRNA from 1 species
UCAGGGCAUUAUUGGGCGUAAGAGCUCGUAGGUGGUUUGUUACGUCUGCUGUGAAAACCUAGGGCUUAACCCUGGGCCUGCAGUGGAUACGGGCAGACUAGAGGUAGGUAGGGGAGAAUGGAAUUCCCGGUGUAGCGGUGAAAUGCGCAGAUAUCGGGAGGAACACCGGUGGCGAAGGCGGUUCUCUGGGCCUUACCUGACACUGAGGAGCGAAAGCGUGGGGAGCGAACAGGAUUAGAUACCCUGGUAGUCCACGCCGUAAACGUUGGGCGCUAGGUGUGGGGUCCUUCCACGGAUUCCGUGCCGCAGCUAACGCAUUAAGCGCCCCGCCUGGGGAGUACGGCCGCAAGGCUAAAACUCAAAGGAAUUGACGGGGGCCCGCACAAGCGGCGGAGCAUGUUGCUUAAUUCGAUGCAACGCGAAGAACCUUACCAAGGUUUGACAUGCAGGGAAAAGCCGUAGAGAUACGGUGUCCGUAAGGGUCCUGCACAGGUGGUGCAUGGCUGUCGUCAGCUCGUGUCGUGAGAUGUUGGGUUAAGUCCCGCAACGAGCGCAACCCUCGUUCUAUGUUGCCAGCGGAUAAUGCCGGGAACUCAUAGGAGACUGCCGGGGUCAACUCGGAGGAAGGUGGGGAUGACGUCAAGUCCUCAUGCCCCUUAUAUCUUGGGCUGCAAACAUGCUACAAUGGCCGGUACAGAGGGCUGCGAGACCGCAAGGUGGAGCGAAUCUCAAAAAGCCGGUCUCAGUUCGGAUUGGGGUCUGCAACUCGACCCCAUGAAGUCGGAGUCGCUAGUAAUCGCGAAUCAGCAACGUCGCGGUGAAUACGUUCCCGGGCCUUGUACACACCGCCCGUCACGUCACGAAAGUUGGCAACACCCGAAGCCGGUGGCCUAACCCGCAAGGGAGGGAGCCGUCGAAGUGGGGCCAGCGAUUGGGACGAAGUCGUAACAAGGUAACC